CUUUUGGAAAGCACAGAUCUCAUCAUUUGGACGAGUAGAUGCCCAACAGCAUCAUGAAUGUCAAGUGCACCAUACCACGCCUCGUUAGAUUUUUCAACUGCAAAGAUGCCUCUUGACAAUGCACAGUGCACUCCCGUCGGGCCUCAAGAUAAGAGGCAGCGGUGGUUUGCAUUCGGAGAUAUCGCCUGGGAAGGCCAACAUGAAGCAUCAAUAGAUCUGCUUGCCAUUUCUGUAGGAGAAGCUACUAGAUCAUCGCAAAAAAAAAAAAAAAGGUGCAGCGCUAGGAGUUAGAGCAACACUACAGAUAACACACGCCCUUGAUCCCUUGUUAUGUACCAGCUAGAUAAAUCAGUUGCCUGUUGGAGCCAGCUAUGGUUUUUCACGACUAGCAAAGGUAUGGAAACACACUGUUAGCUUCCUGUGCAAGCUAUUAGUAUUAUAUCAUAUACACAUAACAUAUGCCUUUGUUACAUGCCAGCUAGAGAAAUCUGUUGGAGCCUUAGUGUGCAACAUUCAUGGAAGAAGAAAAGAAAAUAGUUGUUGCCAAAUAGCAGCUAACGCGAUAGUGAUUACUAUAUGAUUAUCACUAAUAAUGCUGUCUGAUUCAGCAUGUGCUGCAGGUAGAUUAGCAUCUCUUGGCACCAAGGGUAACUGAGUAAAGACUAUCGUGACAAAAUGUUCUUCAGCAAUCAGCAUAAUCCUCAGGAGAACUCUCAAUUCAGGCAUGUAGCGGUACUGCAAGAAAAUGAGACAUCCAAAAGAGAAUGAAUCUUGAGAGGCUCUAUGAGUGACAUUGUCCGUGCUAUGGCGUAACUCGUAAGCCAGAAGGAAGAUCAGUAUAGCAGUCCUGGCGCACAAGGAGUCCAGAAGGUACAUAAUUAGUAAUUAUUUACAACCCAAUAAUCAUAGUGUAUAUAUGGCUUCAAUGGUUAGCAUGAGUAUUUAGAAUGUAUUAGUCAAUGCAAUAUCCCGUUUAUAUUUUCCUCCCAUAUUCAGUGAAGCCAAGAGAUAAUAUUGCUAAAAACCAAUUCAGAUACAACUAGGGUGGAGUACAAUAUUAGAAUGAAAACACUAAAUGGACUAUAUUUUUCCAGUUUAAUUAGAGCCAGUUCUCACUGUUGUCUGAGUCCAGCCUAAUCCGUGGUCGGUUUGAUUUAUCCCCCCAACGUCAUCCUGAUGUCAUGAACGCCUUUAAUCUGAAAUAGGUGUGGUUUAAAAGAUAGUAUAUUGGACGAUCCACUGCCAAAGACAGAUAGGCGAGCAUGCCACUGCAGUACUAAAAGCAAUUGUCCGUUCUCCCAGGUUCUCCAAACUGCAUCCAGUGCUUCCUCUACAAUUUUUCAACUACAGAUCACCAAAAGAAAAGUACUACAUACUAGUGCAAAACCUGACAAAAUGCUGACAGUGCAGGGUCUAUCUGUCAUUUUCAAGGUUUGAGAAAGCAUAGGAAUGUAAAUGUUUGUGUGAAGAGCACGAAUGCAUGACUAAAUGCAUGAACAAUAGAAUGUUCCCUAUAGUAGGGGAGUAAUACACAAAUAGGCUACAAGAGGAAAUUCUUUGUAUAUCUCACCUUGUUGACUGAGAGAAGACACCACCAAACAGCAAGUGAGCAAUCCCGUUACAUUUCUAUAUACAACCAUUCUGGUAGAUCUUUAUAUUGAACUGAACAAAGAGUUCCACAAAUGGAAGCAGCAGAGAUAACUAUGCCAAUUGCUUCAACUCUCUCAUGCAAUAAGCAGGUCAGUUGUCUUGCUGAAAAAAAGUGAUGGAUAGAAUGCUGGCCUAAAAAUUGAUUUGGAAUAGAAGAUCAACUACAUAACUGCUAUCCAUCUUAUCCAGCAACGCAUCUCCAGGAAUAUUCUGUUAUUUGACGUACACAUAAUUUAGCGUACGCAUUUAAUAAUCACAACAUGGACUGUGCAUUAUCGUGAUUGUAUGACAUUGUACGAUUUUAGGCAGUUAAUAUAUAUACCUGUCCUGCUUCAUAUCAGCCUGAACAUCUGUUUUAACCUCAAUGUAUUCCCAGCACCUCUAAUGGAGUAAUGGGCCCUGCCUGUAAAAUUACUAAAUCAUGAAAUCUUAUUAUGGGAAUGCAAUUAAGAACAAAAUAUCAAGGACAAGCAAAAAAAUUAGGUGGUCAUAUCUCUGAUAGUGCACUCCAUAUAGCAAUGCAGAAACAAUUUGCAACUCUAAUCUUAAGUUUUAAAGGAUGAGAUGACCAUUUUGAUCGCCGCAGCCUAUGAUUGAUAGGAAGCAGCAGUAAAAUAUCCCCCUUUUCAGUUACUUAAGAAACAUGAUCAUUUGGCAUUAAUCAAUAAGAAACAUCAAUUGACGGUAAUGGCAAAUUAAUAUGUUAAACUACAAUUGGUAGCUAUACGCUGUUGUAGAACACAUUAAGAAGGCACACAGAAGGUGGCAAAUACAUAGCAGCCAUUGUAUCUGGGAACAGAGAGAUGGUGACAAGAAAGAGGAGGAAAGCCAAGCAUGCAGAUACUCAUUUAUGAUUUAUCACUACUGUGAUAUAUCUGUUCUUAAUACAACUACAUCGAGAAAGAAAUUUGCUUAUGAACCAAAUAUGCCAGUUAUGCAUGUUGUGAUCAAAUCUAGUUCCAUGUACUCAACAAAUUCACGGACAUGAAAUAUCAUAACACAUCAAGCAUCCAGCCAUCAAAAUAUGCAUUGAUUUCAUUCAAUCCAUGCAUCAUGAACUAUCGUGUAUUCAAACAGAAACAAAAAUAGAAGCAAAGAGCAUUAAGUUAGAUAAAGAAACCUGAGGAUUCGAGGUUGGUUCAAACAUCUCCUCUCCAGGCGUUAAGUCGAACCAGAUCUAAGUUGUUCUCACUGGGAUCUUCGGUAGGCGACGGUAUAAAGUGCAGCUGGCGGCGCUAGGAGAGAUGGGGCUGGUGGUUGUGCAUCAGAGUGCUGGUGGAGAGUGCACUCUAUAUGGAGGCUCACCAAAAUUUCAAUCAGUCAAGAUCAACGUGAACAACGGAAAAUGAUCAAUCUGCACUUGCGUUGAGACACAAUGAGAAAAGAAACAAUAUGCUAAUAAAACCACUCAAGCAUGUCUACUAAGAAUAGUGCACACAACGUCACAAACAAGAUGCCCAAUAUUUCUUCCAUUAGCAAUAUAUAAUAGAUUAACCUAUGUGCUUUGACUGCACGCAAUAAAAAAAUGACCUCAUCAAAUAAGAAAACAGAUGUACCAAUGUAUUGGUGUUUCACUUUUAUUUUGAAGAAGAUAUUUUGAAAUUUUCAGCAUACAGUUGAAGAAACAAAAUCAUAAACAAUAAAUGGAGAAUAUCUUAAAGAAAACUGAAGAACUAACCUAAAGUUGAGCUACCUCUCAAAACUUCAAGUAUUGUGUACAAAUAGAAGACAAUAUACACAUGUAACACAUUGCUUACAGGCAAAGGUUCCAAAAUAUCAGAGCCAACCAACCAAGAUAACUAAAACACAGCAACUCAUCUGUGUUGAAGGGUUACAGAAAAGUGUUCCUCCGCAAGAUAAACCAAGAAACUAAAUGUAUUUUAGUGGUUUGUUUCAAUUUUUCUACAGAGAAAUAUAUUCUGUGCAUUUCCACUAUGAAGUACAGGUUGCUAAGGACAACUACACAAACAGUUAUAUCUACUUGUCACACUUAAGAGUACAAACCAGGUUCAUAAUUCAACCACUAUCUCUUGAUGUGUGCUUAGCCAACAAUUCUAGCAGCCUUUGUUGCUCUCGUUUAGAUAUUCCAGGAUGAAGCUCAGGGAGGUUGCUGAUGAAUGAUUUGCCAUCAGCUAUCCUACCAUGGCUGCAGUACUCCUGAAGUAUUGUAUUGUAAGUUCUCUCAUUGGGCUUGCAACCAUGAGUAACCAUAUAACGUACUAAAUCUAUAGCUUCUUCAAACAUUGAAUUGGCCACGUAACUCUUGACAAAAAUAUUGUAUGUCACAAUAUCUGGUACCAGACCCGAACAUUUCAUCUCAGAGAACAAUCUUGAGGCUUCUUUCAUCUGCCCUUUUCUUCCAUACGCAUAGAUCAUAGUGUUAUAAGAGUAUCGAUCAGGACGCGCACGACUUGACUUGAUCUCAGUGAGGAUAUUUUCACACUUCUCACAAUCACCUAAACGAGAAUACAUAUGCAUCAAGCUGUUGUACGUUGCGGUGCUGAGGUUGAUAGAACUUUCCUUCAUGAGUGAAAGAAUCUCCUCCACCUUCUUAACCAUCCCAUUUUUCCCAUAUAUGGAAAUCAUGGCAUUCAGAACGUUAAUGUCCAGAGAGCACCGCCUCCUCCUCAGUUCCAAGAACGCCUUUUCUGUGUCGGAUAAGUUAUUAACUUUGCUAUUUACCAACACCAAUGUUUUCACUAGCCCGUUGUGUGACUCUAUCCUCUCUGCAUAAAUAUCUUCGGACAAAGAUUUCAUUUUGUCCAACUUCUUUGCAUUAGCAUAUGCAUGAAGCAGUGAAGAGUAACUAAGCUCAUCAGGCCUAGAAUCCAGAUUCUCCAUCUCAGCGAACAACUUUUCUGCCUGCUCCCAACGCCCACCACGAGCUAGUGCAGAUAGAACAGCAUUAUAUGUCGAAAUGUCAGGAUGUAUACCAGCUUCAAUCAUCCUUUUGUAUAUCUCCAUUGCUUGGUCAAACAAGCCACAUCUACUAUAUGAACUAAUGAGUGAAACAUAUGUGUCCCGCUCAGGAACAUAACCAGAUUUCUUCAUCUCCUUAAAUACUCCAGACACCUCAGUGUCUAACCCAUUCUGUCCAAACACAGCUAAGAGCGUGUUCCAGGUCACAACAUCUGGCACAAACCCAGCAGACCUGAUCUCAUCAAACACAAUCAUCAUCUCUGGGAACUUUCCCCUCACACCAUGCAGCUUGAUCAAUGCAUUGUACGUGCACAGAUUCGGCUUACAUCCAUUCCUCAACAUUUCAUUAUAUGUCCCGAUUGCUGCAUCAAUUUUGCCAGCCCUGUCAAGACCAGAAACCAAUGUCGUGUAUGUAAUGACAUCCGGCUCAAUCCCCUUAACCUCCAUCUCCUCUUUGAGCUGUGUCGCCUCUUCCAACAGACCGUCCUUCACAUACGACGAAAUGAGCGAAUUGUAGGUCACUACACUGGGUGGACAGCCCCCUUGCUCCAUCUCUUUGAGCACGCCGAUUGCCUCAUCAUACCUCCGAGCCUUACCAUACACAUCGAGCAGAGAAUUGAGCGUGACCUUGUCAGGUUCGAACCCAGCAGCCCUCAUUUCAUCGAACACCUUUGCUGCCUCCUUGUAGAGUGCCCUCCGACGGCAACAGCUAAUGAGCGUGUUGUAUGUGUACCUGUCCAGCGGAAUUCCGUCCUUCCUCAUGGAGUCCACGAGUGCUAGCACCUCCUUCCACGGAACAGCAAUCUUGGAGUAGACAUGGAGCACGACGUUGUAGGUGACGAGGGCGGGACAGACGCCGUUAGCGACCAUACGGCGGAACACGGCAACCGCGUCCCUGAACCGGCUGGCGCGGGAGAGCGCUGAGAUGAGGGCCGUGUAGGCGCUGGCGUCGGGGUCCGGCGCGGCAUCGAGGAGCGCGGAGGCGUCAGCAAGGCGACCGGCACGCGCGAGGACGCGGAUGGCUGUGGGGAGGACGCGGGGAUGGUGGAGGACGCGCUCGCCGUGGAGGUCCCGCGCGGCGUGGAUGGCAGCGAGGGCGACGCCGGGCCGGCCGCGGGAGGCGAGGGCGCUGAGCACGGCGGCGAGGUCGGCGGCCGGGAGCGCGGAGAGAACGUCGCGCGGGGAGGCACGGUCGGGGGCGUCCGACAGGAGGGAGAGGAGCGCGCGCCGCGCCGGGAGGGAGAGGGAGGGCGGCAGGUUCCAGGCUUGCCCACUGCCGCCGCCGCGGCGAGUAGGGUCGUGGGGGCGUCCGAGCCGCGGGGUGCGGGAGGAGGAGGUGGGGGUGGGGCGGGAGGAGGAUAGGAGGGAGGCUGGGGAGAAGAGGCGGGGAGGGGAGUGCGCGGGAGGAUGGUGGCUCAUGGUCGGCGGGGCGGGCGCUCGGAGAGGGAGCGGGAAGACGAUGGUUUCGGCCAUGGCGGGUGUGGGUGGUUGGCUGCGGGGGUUUAGGGGUUAUGGCCGUUGGCUUGGCACCGGCGCGGCCGCUCGUGGAGAAGAUGACUGGAUAUGGGAUAAUGCGGAACUGCGGGUGGCAGUUGGGCCCUCGGCAUAUGAAGACCUUCGAUUUUCAGGGGCGGCCUGUGAAGACCUGAGAGUGGUCUCGUAGACUGGUAGAUUGGGACCAUUGGGUUCAGUCUAUUGGCCCAAAAAUACCAGGGACAGAACGUCUGGGCCAAGAUCAAAAAGCCUAUAUAUCGCCGGCUACGGUUCUGUGUUUCUGUCUUCCUUCAAAGCAUAAUUUUUCCCUCAAAAAAAGAAGAAGCUACAAAGCAUAAUUAACAAAAAAAUGUUUCACUCACUAUGGGUUCAUUAAUCUAGUUUGGGCCAGACAUGGCUCAACCUUCUCGAUGAGAUGUCCUUGUACUAAAUUGAAGCCUCGAGGUGGAGGAUAGUCUAUGAGACGACUAUUUCUUUAACUCAUGGGCCUCUUUUUCUGACCGUCCACGCUACUGCCCUCACGCAAUGUAUACAGUCAAAAGCCUGAACUGAUGACAUGAAUGCAUGGGAUUGAGACCCCAUGCCCGAAGCUUCCAAGCCAUGCUACUGUAGUACCUGUACCAGGAGAUAGAUAAAGCGCAGACGUCACGUCCUCCUGGCCGUCGUGACCACGUAAAAGUUGUAGACCGGUCGAUGCAAGUGCAAAUGCACCCAUGACUUGCCAAGAAACGCCGCAGCCGACCGACGGAUCACCACGAGAGCGUAGUCAUACCGGCCCAUAAAUGAGCCGAAAGCGGCCAAAGCCCACCACCCGUUGCUUGCUGAUGCCCCGUGACCGGUGACCCGCGUCGGAGGUCAAUGAGGCGCGCACGAAGGUCCCGUCGCAUCCGACUCGGCACGAGACAAACGAGACGUGGAUCGGUGCGAAGUGCUGCAGCUGAUGGCAGGAAAAGCCUUGGGAUCCUUGACAGCUGCUGCUCUAAUCUGCUGUCGGAAUAUCGGAUCAACAAUUAUCACAUGCCACUGUCUUUGUGGAGUAGUACCAAUUAAUGCCUUUGGGUUGAUGGUCCAGUCCCCUUCGCCUUAAUCUAAGCCAGAUUAUGCCUUCCAUAUUACUUAGACCCCUUCCCUCAAGGUUUCUUCGAGCGGCGUAAAUUGGGUGAUGAACUGAUGAGGACGUUGCUAGUUGGACACUUGGACGUGAUUCACUCCCGUUCCUCUGCCAACUGCAGAGUGCCGUUCAAACGGCGUUGAAAGGAGAGAAUUACCUUCAAAUUAUACUUCCUCCAUCUCAUAUUAAAUGACUCAAAUUUGCUUAAAUAUGAAUGUAUUUAUAGGUAAAAAGCGUCUAGAUACAUGUAAUAAAAAGUCACUUAAUAUGAAACGGAGGGAGUAAUAAACAUUAAGCAGGAAGACGUGGACAGAGAGGCACGGAAGAGAAACAUGUACACAAAUUUAUACCUCCACACCUCAGGGGAAUUAUACUUUAGUGAUGACAAUAUACUAAUUACUUGAAAUUAUAGGGAACCUGAUUAACACACAAGUCACAACCGUUUGGUCGUUCACACUCCUUACGGGUUAUCCUCCUCAUUGUCAUCUCUGCACCUACUUCUUCGCCCCCGAUCGAUCAUAGUGAAAAAAUCGUCAAUGGAUCACACUCGACCAAGCGAUGAAAUUUUGCUUGUUAGAUAUGGAUCAAGUAAAGUCGUCAUAUUUAGAACUAUUAGCGUUAUUUUGUAGUGCUCAUUUUGUAUAUAAAAAAAUGUCAUAGGACGAUGAGCGAACGUUGACAUGCCAUUUAGAACCAUUAAUGUUCGUCCGUAGCGCUCGUUCGGUACGAUGAGCGAACGUUGACCCGACAGAUUUAGAACCAUUAAUGUCCGUCCGUAGCGGUCGUUCAGUAAAACACGGCUUGAGGCCAGAUCGAACAUUCACUCGCUAAUUUUGGAAAUAUUAAUGUCGAUAUGUGAUUCUUAUCCGGCAAAACAUGGCCCGGAUCAAAUGUCUAUUUGCAGGUCGUUGAACAAUCAUGAAUGUUGAGUGACCGUCUUUUGGACGCAUUCUACAUCUAGACAAUAGAUGCAUCAUACUAAUAUAGCACCUUAAAUGUCAACGAGUUAAAAAAUACCACUUGGCAUGCUUCGGAUAUUGAUUAUUGCACUAUUUUUUUCAAAUUUAACCACAUACUCCAAUUUUUCAGAGUAUUUCAAUUGGUGCCCUCAGUUAUUUAUGUCAAAUUCAACGAGCGGUGGUAAUUAAGCGACGGACCACUGCCCAGGCAUCUUUAUUUCCGUGAAAUACGAUCUCUCCACCUCUUAAGCAAAUUACUCCAAAACUUGUGGCAACCAAAAGGUCCAAAACCACUACUAUGAACAUCUGUCAUAAUUUUUCUCCAAAACUUGUGGCAACCAAAACCAGGGCCCCGGCGCCCCGGCUGGUACCAUUGACCACCCAAUUUUGUGCAUUGACCAAAUUGACUAUUUAAGUACUGUACACGGUACGAGCACUGACAUCCCAGGGCCCCAGCAACAUAACCGCAUCCGGCACCCCCUUCCUUGCUUCGCAAACCGGACAAGCCAAAAUGAAGACCAGAACACAACAAAACCCGACCAUCUCUUCCCCACCCUUCUCCUUGGACCAAGGAAAGAAGCCGACCAUGGCAGACCCCCGUGACGAGUCCCCAGAAGCAGCCGCCACCGACGACGGCUUCGAGUUCCGUAUCCUAUCCACUGCAGGCGGCCUUCUCCCCUCUGGCGCGGGCGACAUGUGCGUGGCCGACGAGCUCUUCUCCCACGGCAAGCUCCUCCCGCUCCACCCCGCCCCCGAUUCCCCCACCCUCCCGCGGUCCGAUUCCGCCGCCGCCGCCGCCGGCCUAGGCUCGCGCUCCGACUCCGGCCGCCGCAGCGCGAGCUCCAGCGGCAGCAGCAGCAGCACCGGCUGCGUCAGCCGGAGCCACUCGUCCAAGAGCGCCGCCUCCGACGCCGUCCUCCAUGGCGCCGCCGCGGCGCCGCGGAGGUCGCUGGCGAGCAGCCUGUUCUACGCGCACCCGAGCCCGUCGCCGCAGCUGCGCAGCCGCAGCGCGCGGCCGCGCCGCAGCACGGGGUCCUCGGCCCCGCCGCCGCCAGCCGGCGCCGCGUGGGGCGGCUUCAAUUUCAUACGGCUCGGCGUCGUCGGGGCCCCCGAUGUGUACCCGCCGCGCCUAGCCGAUGCCAAGAUCACAGCGGCGUCGAGGGGCGGCAGCGGCAGGAGCGCGAGGUUCGAGCGGGCGGCCAGCGCCGUGGAGAAGAGCCUGAGGAAGCAUGGCGCGGGGCUGUUCGGCGACGGCUUCGGAUGUAGGUGCUCGCCCGACGUCGUCGUCGAGCCUGCAGGCUUGCCGGAGGCGGCGAAGAAGAGCGGAGAUGAUGGGGGCGUGAAGAAGAAAGGCCGCAGCGUCCGCCGUAUUAGGAUUUUAGACUGGCUCGAAGAGCUGUCCAUCACCAGGCAGAAGAAGUGAUCUUGUGCAAAGAUCCUUGGUCUCUCUCAGCCGUGUAUGAUCGAGGAAACAUUUAGAUUGAUUGCUUAGAUUUUUCUCGUUUGAUUAACCGGAAUUGCUGAAUUGAAAAAUAUAACUUCGUCUGUACAGAGUUGUCUAUGCUAUUGCUAGGAGGGAUCUGAUCAUUAGAUUUUUCUGGUUUGAUUAACGGGAAAUGCUCGAUUAGAAAAACAACUUGUUUGUACAGAUUAUAAACGGUGGUACAUUCCAUGGAGUUCCUCAUAUGACUCAUCGAUCUUCCGUUCCUGGAUCGUGCAAAUUCGCAAGGUACAUGUUCUAUUUCUCCGACCAGCAUGGCUGUACGAAUUUUCAUUCUGUCGUUAGUCCUUGUUUGCUGGAAUCUUACAAUUAAAAAAGAACUCCACGGAAUUCACCUCACAUGCGUGUAGUAGUACACCCAUACUAACCUGUCAGCUGGCUGUCAGUCGUGUUCAUAAAAAACGACCGAUCCGCACACGUACUACCCCCCCUGUCGAAUUCAUCUUCAACGAGCAAACUGUUUUGCUGCCACGACCUGCACCGACAACGAGCUAAGCUUGGCCGGGCGCUGAUGGCGAGGAUGCCAGGAAGCCCAGAAGCCCUCUGGCCAUCUCCAACGAGCCGCGACAGGCGUGACGCAGCGAGCUGGGAUCAAGCAGGCGACCCAUGGCCAUGGAACACGACGAAACCGGCCAGCGGCUUUCAUUCAAUUGCCGACCUUUCUCCUCGAUUACAGCGAAAAAUCGACUGUGGUUCCGCAUGAAUUUCCAGCGAAAUCACCGCCGUUUCAAAUAUGGCCACGACGGCGGGGAGGGGCUCCGGACCGUGCAGCAGCUAGCGAGUCCAGCGGCAUGAACCGGCUCGGGCGAGCGGUGGGUCUACGGUCCGCGUCUACGUUACGUCUAAUUCGUGUGCCGCUUUUCCCCCUGUCGUAUCGAUCCCGAGAGGAUUUCCUGACCGGGACGUGUGGGAGCGAGCCGCGAGGAGUCUCCUAGUCCUACAGGCGUAGCACAAUUGCGUGCGGUCGGUGGCGACGGCGACCCCUCUCAUCAUAAUCCGUUCCACGACGGCGACCACCCCCUUUCCAUUUCUCGCCGGGAACCUGAGCGAAAAGGACACCGCUGAGCCAGCCCGCGUGCUUUCGUGUGCCAGAGAGGUCGAAACGCUCCGCACUUUUGGCUGCACGCAUGACGCAUUGACGCGCCGUUCCUGGUGCCUUCCUCGAAUUCGAUUAAGAGCCCGCGCGUGGCUGUUUCUUCCGGUGGAGAAGUUAAUGAUUCGGUGAUCGUUGGAGCGGCACGGGAUUUUUCUUGUCUCCUUUUUCCGUUAGCUCGUCCAACCGCACCUAACCGGAUGUUUUACAGCUGCUCAAAACAAAAAACCCCGGAUGUUUUACAGCGGCACGGACGGGCGUGGCUUGAGACCUCCUGAAACGGUCGUUGCUUUCCGGCGCUGAAACUUGCAGAGGAAAAUAUAAAACGCUGCACUUUGCUUGCAAAGAUUCAGACUUUGGCAUGAAAUUCAAAACGGAUGUCCAAAUACGCACCUAGUUUCUCACCAGCAUACGAGAACUCGUACGUGGCGCCUUUGGUUUGCCUGGUACUGGAAGAAAAGCGAGGCUAAUCGAGUGAAACGCGCGGAAAACACACCAAAGAAAGGGGCACAAAGAAAAGUAGCUGGAAAAAAGUGGGGCACCAGCUCGUGAAAGGCAGAAUUUUUCGUAGCAGGACAAAGUUAAAAAGAAGUGCGUGCGAGUGAGCGUGUCUCCGAGAGCCUAUGAUGCGCACUGCACGCUGGAACAUAAAAACAAAGAGCUUAAUCAGGACAUCAUCUCGCGCAGCUACACGAGAAAGGCUGCGAUGCAUGUUUUGUCUGCCGCCGCUUGGUUCCAAUUCCCGAGGUGGAUAAAAGUGUUUACUAGGUCUAAUCGUUCCAUCCUAAUCAAAUCAUACUCUCCGUUGCUGCCGCUCCAGAGCUAGCGGAAUGUCUCAGCUGUCAGCACUCAUCAGUCUGUCAUCGUAAAUUUUUCGAUCCAAAUAAGUACAGCCCUUGACAAUGGGAAUCCAAUCCAUAUUAAGAUGCUUGCGAGUUGCAAUUCCUGGCACAGGGUUUGCAGCGUGUCCGUCUUUGGGCUAGCAGCAUCGAGAGCCGGUUUGUAAUCAGACGGUUCUGCGACAUGCGAGAGUCGCAGCUGAAAGUAUCGGCCCUGUAGGACUGCACGGCAGCCAAGUUUCAAACACGUGUAGUGAAACAAUCAUGUCGCGUUGUUGUGUCUGUGUGGGUGGGUGCAGGAUCAGACUCUUUUUUUCUUUUCUUUUUUGAGAACAGCAGGAUCAGACUCUCAAUCUGUCAGUUCGCUAGUUCAGACUUCAGAAUGUUUGGCUUUCGGGGGUUAGUUUACGCAAGAAAAUCAAUGAUUUGGGCCCAGGGUUGUUCUGGGCCUGGACGCAUGUAGGACAUGAUUUUUACGGGCCACGGAAGAUACAUCUCGGCCGAUUAACACGGAGCAGCCAAUGCCAAAACCAUACAGAUAGCAGCCCGGCAGCAGUCAGCUCCGGCCUUCGGGCACGUCGCAGUUAUUGGAGCCAGCCCAAUGAAGACGGGCAGCCCUUAUUUUCGUUUUUCUUGAUAUCGUUUUGUUUUGUUUUCAGUUUUUUUUUCUUGUCUAUCCAGUGAACUGUUUUAAAUUUUGACUUGAUCAAUAAAGUAAGAUUUAUUUUAAACAAAUAGUACGUUUUGAUCAGCUAACAAUAUACGUGUUGGAGAUGCGUUAAUCUGUCUUUUUUAUGUACAGGAUGCGUGUGAUCAUAUUUUUGCAACCAAAAUCUACGAGGAGACAUAUUACAGCAUGAUGUAUAUGAAUAAAAUCACAACUUGCACUGAUGAACAAUGCAUUUUACACACUAGAUUUUUUUUCUUUGGGUCGUAGACUACUUAUACUUCCGCAAAAAUAAGAAUAAACCUUAUACGCAAAAUGCAGGCCGGACUUUCUUUUUUGACACAAAACGCAGUACUAUCUAGUAUAUUGUGUACUUUGAUCAUUUUUUAUUGGCAUACGAUUCUUUUACCUUGUCAAUUCCUUGGAAAUACGAAGCAUUGUGUCUUACUUGCCUUUAUAGUGACCCAAAUUUGAGAAUGAUUGCCAAAUGUGCUCCUUUUUUUUGGUCAAAAAGCUUCGUUGGCGGUAAGCUUUUCGCUACCUGAUUCCAUUUUCCUCCUGAAAGGAAACAAGUUUUGCAGUAGCCACGGUAACCGGAGAAUACCAACAAUUUAUCGGACUAGAUUCUUUAAUCAUUUAUUUAUUGAUUGAUUGUGAAGAUGAUUGUGUAUUGCGCAUAUGUAAUUCUACAAGUAUGCAGUCAUAGUAUAUAGUGGUAUAGUGGAUGGUGCAAUCUCUCCUAAUUCACAGAUCAUGGGUUCAUUCAUGCUUAGAGUUCCAAUCAACCCAUUUCCGAGUGGACCCGGAAAGGUUGUUGCCAAGCAGUAACUUAAAAUACAGAUCGGUAACCCAAACGAAGAUUUGCGGGCGAUCAGAGGUCAACUCUAUGUUAGCUCUACGUACCCCUUCUUCAUGUUCUACGCCUUGUUGUAACACGCAUCACCUUGUGUUUGUUCGGAUCAAAAUAUAUGGGUAUAAGUGAUCUUGUGCAGUUGUGGUCAAGUCUGGAUGCAUUGCCAAGAAUGUGUUGCAAAACAUAUCCCCAAUAUAUAUCUUCCUCGCCUCUUUCCGCUCCCAGCCUUCCGCAAUGCUCCGCGGUCCAAAACAUACCCUUCUUCCUAACCCCGAGUGUCGCCUUACCCAGCUUUCUUCUCCAAAUAUGCCGAUCCUGUUCCAAUCAGAUUGGCAUUGGCAGCCCGGACAUCAGCACAGAAACAUAUUGUGAAGUCGGUAAUAAUCGUAUCUGCAAGUGCUAAGUAAAAAGAAACAUGUGAUUUGCUGAGAGUUGCAAGUAUAGGAGAUUGUCCGGCUUGCGGAGAAAAUAAAGUAUUCCCUCCUAUCCAUAAUAAGUGUCCCACUGUGCUUAAUCUGAAACACUUAUUAUGAAUCAGAGGAAGUAGUAAGUGAUCAACAAAUGAAAAAAAAUCAUUGUGUUUACUUUUUUUUUUAAGAAGAAACAAUCCAUUAGCUCGCCAAAGAUAACAGGUUACAGGGUACAUCACACUGAGCAACAACCGAUACAGGGACAGACCCCUUAGCAGAUCAGUCGUUUUCGACAAUCUAGCAUACUGAGCAAUAACAUGAGCUAACGAGUUGCCCUCCCGGCACACCCAACUAAUUAAGAAGCCAUUACAGGACACCAAAGCUCUCCUAAUCUCCUGAAGCAAGAAGCAAGAGGAAGAUCUGUCUACUGAGUUGGAGUUCAGGUUGUUGACAAGCUGCUGGCAAUUGGAUUCCAGAUGCAGAUUGACCCCCGGCUGCAUGCAGAGGGUCUCAAUUCCAAGCAGGUAGGCGGCAGUUUCAGCUUCGUUGGGGUAUGAGCAGUUUACGAUCUGUCCCCAAGCGGAUGCGACAAUCUCCCCAUUACAAGUUCUGAGCACGCCACCCCACCAGGCCUCCUUGGAGUGUUCAGAAAAGCUCGCAUCCAUGUUGAGCUUCUGCAAGUUAGGGGCCGGAGGGCGCCAUAUGCCCUGCGCUGCAGACUGGAUAGCAGGAGAGCAAACCGAUUGAGUCAGAAGAUCCGGAUCAGCUACAGACUGAGCUACAGUUGAGCUGUUACACAGGUUCAGGCUAUUGUAUAUAGCAGCGUCGCCCCCCUUGAGAUUCUCAUGCGCACGGGCAUAGCCGCAUAUGAACCGGGCCGAUUCCUCAAUACUGGCACUGCCCUUGUUGAACAACACAUCGUUUCUGUGGUGCCAAGCACGCCACCACAAGAACAACAGGUGCUGACGAGUGCUUGGGGACACCGAAUCAAGCAACACCAGAACCCAGUCCUCCCCAUUCUGCUUCAGUAAGUUUUCAGGAGGGAUCUUCCAGUCUCAUACGCUGGCGGAGGUCCCGGGCCUUGGGGCAUGCCAUCACAGCGUGGUAGCCUGUCUCAUCACCCAUACCACAAAUCUCACAGGUGGGUUUGGUAUUUUUGAUGCGCUUGCACCUGUUAGCCUGGACUGCCAGCGAGCUUGUGGUGAGCUUCCAUGCAAAAACGCGCACUUUCGGAGGAACAUUACACCUCCAGAUCACAUCCCAAAUCUUGCGAUUUCCGUCAGGGCUAGAGCUUGAGCUGCCAUUCCCCUCCCCCAUUGAUAGGUCUAGAGCCAGCAUGUAGGCAGAUUUCACCGUGAACAUGCCCAGUUUAUCAGGGAACCAAGCCAAGACAUCAUCAUGUUGGUUCACAGGUAGCUUCAAUUGGGCGAUCAUAUCAGCAUCGUGGGGGUAAAAGAUACGGCGGAUGAGCGGCUCAUUCCAAGUGCCAGAGUCCUGGUUAAUGAGAUCAGAGACUCGCCUUAAUCGAGAGUUCCCCAUUCUGCCCGAUGGACGCAGGUUUCCUCUAGGAAGCCAGUUGUGGCGCCAUAUGUCCACCGUGUAUCCGUUUCCAAUCCGUCAAAAAUAUCCUUUCUUCAGGAGCUUGAGACAGUGGGUGAUACCUUGCCAAACCGGCGAAGCAGAUUGGAUGAAUGUCGUAUCCAGUAAAUUGCCAUUAGGAUAGUAUUUGGACUUGAUCAGCCGGGCACCAAGACUGUCUGGUUUAUCAAGGAGGCGCCAUGCCUACUUUGCUAACAGAGCUUGAUUGAACAGUGCCAUAUCUCGAAAACCCAUACCUCCUUUGUUUUUUGGCCGAAUCAAUUUAUCCCAAGCGAUCCAGUGUAUUUUUCUUCUGUUAUGCUCAUCCCCCCACCAAAAGUCUCUAGUAAUGUGUUCCAACUCCUCACAAAGUCAUUUAGAAAAUUUAAAAACACUCAUUGCGUACGUGGGCAGAGAUUGAAUUACCGACUUGAUCAGUACUUCGUUGCCGCCGGCUAAGAGAUAUUUCUCGGACCAGUCAUUAAGUCUCUUCCUUGCCUUAUCUUUAACAGAUUGGAACCAAUCAUUCUUCAUGCGUCCCUCUGGGACUGGGAGUCCGAGAUAUUUUUCCUCGAAUGCCAUAUUGGACACAUUCAGCACGGCAGCGACAGCAGCUCCUUUGACCUGUGGCACAUUUUUUCCUAGGAGAAUUGAACAUUUUGAAGGGCUGAGGAGUUGACCAGUACAAGAUUCAUAACCGUUGAGGAUCCUUUUUAUAAUUAGAGCUUGGUCAUGUCUUGCUUGAAAGAACAAAAGGCUGUCAUCACCAAAUAAGAGGUGCGAUAUGCCCAGCCCACGACGAGCAAUAUUUAGCACACUUAGGUUACCAUUUUCAAUUUCUUUCCCAAACAAACAUGAUAAGCCGUCGGCCACAAAAAGGAAUAAGAAAGGGGGAAAGGGGGUCUCCCUGUCUUAGUCCUCUCGUCGGGCGAAAGCUUUCCAAAAUAUGGCCAUUCACCUUCACAGCAUACCUGACAGAGCGUACGCAUGACAUGAUCCAGUUAACCCAUUUGACAUCGGACCCAAAUUUACAUAGGGCAGCUUCAAGAUAUCCCCAAUCAACACGAUCAUAGGCUUAGCUUACAAGCACAAAACUUGCCGGUGUUUUCUCCAUGUUGAAGUGCAUGGAUGCAUUCGAAGUCAAUGAUCGCAUUAUCCGUAAUCAUUCUCCCUGGGACAAAGGCACUCUGGGAAUCCGAAAUUAAAACAUUCAACAGCGGACGGAGGCGGUUGGCCAGGCACUUCGUCACAACCUUGUAGAUCACAUUGCAUAAACUAAUCGGGCGGAAAUCCUUUAGGUACAAAGGGUUCUUGAUCUUGGGGAUGAGCACAAUAACUGUAUCGUUAACUCCAUCGGGCAUGGCACCUGUAACAAAAAAAUUCCUCACCGCACGGAUAAUAUCCUUCUUCACCGUGGCCCAGUGACGCUGGAAGAAACGCGCCGGGAAACCAUCCGGCCCUGGGGCUUUGAGGGGCCCAAUUUGGAAGAGGGCGUCGCUAAUUUCUUUGUCCGUAAAUUCUUUGCACAGGUCUUGAUUCAUGUGCCCGUCCACCUUAGCCGUAAUACAGUCAAUAAGAGGGCCAGGCUGUACGUUGUCAUCUCUGAUGAAGAGCUCUCUGAAGUACACAGUGGCCAUCUCCUCGAUCUCAGUCGUGUCCACAGCAACAGACCCAUCAACUCUAGUCAGCUUAGUAAUCUUGUUCUUUUUAACUCUCCAGGUGGCUUUGCGAUGGAAAAAAGCCGUGUUGCGGUCUCCCGCGCGGAUCCAGUCCCCCCGAGAGCGAUGAUGCCACUUAACCUCAUCUUUCCCAAGCAGUUCGUCCAGUUCAGCCGAUAAAGCCUUGUAUCUCCUUCGGCCUUGACCAUUCCGGCGUUGCACCAACUUCUGCAUUUGAGCUCUCUUCUUGUCGAUCAUUUUUCCGAUAGCGCCAAUGGUGGCUCCGCUCCACACAUGCAGAUGCCUCAUAGUCCCGUUCAGAGUAGCCGUAAUAGCACCCAAAUCGCCACCAGCACACUGCUGUUCCCAGGCUUUCCCCACUUCAGUCUUCACGCUCCCAGUAGGCCUCGUAUCUUCUAGCAACCGAGCGGCGGCCAGUAGCAGUUUUCUUCUGCAAAGAUAACAAAAGUGGACAGUGGUCCGAUCUGGGAGAAACCAGGUGUUGAACUGCAUACUCCGGGAACAUGGCAGACCAGGCAGGAUUGGCAACUGCCCUGUCUAGAUGCACCCGAAUAUUCCUGUACCCAUCUUGUUUAUUGUUAAAAGUCCAAUCAGCACCCACAUACCCCAGGUCAUGAAGGUCAUAGUGGGAUAGCACCUCCCUAAAAUCCAACAUCUGCUUUUCUCCUCUCAAAUUCCAUGAGAUGUGUUCAUGCUGCCACAAAAUUUCAUUAAAAUCCCCAAUUACCAUUCAAGGUUCGGUUCUCAUGGGGAAGAUUCUUCUCAGAAGCUCCCACAUAUGGUGACAGAGGUGUUUGCGAGGUUCUCCAUAAAUGAAAGUACCUCUCCAUUUUAUUCCAUUUGACUCACUGAUUAUUACAUCGAUUAAGCGAUUAUUGAGCAAAAGUAAAUCUGCUUGCACACUUUCAUCCGAGAACAAAGCGAGGCCACCCCCUUUUCCUUCCCCGGGCACCGCGAUCAUAUGCUUGAGCCCCAGCCGCCACCUCAAGCCCUCGAUCACAGAAGUUUUAUUGCGAGUUUCUGAGAGGAACACGAUCUUCGGUUUGUGAGUCUUGACCAGAUGGAGAAGCUCUUGAACUGUCCGGGGUUGGCCGAUCCCCCGGCAGUUCCAGCACAAGAGAUUCAUUUUUCCUGACAAGCGCUGUCGCUCGCACCCGUCAGUUUGCCAGUGGCCCUGGGACUGGUCGCCUCCAAUUGCUUCUCCGAAUUCCCAUCGCCCUCAGGCGCUGCCGCUUGUCCCUUCCCCUCGAACUUGCCCUUCUUGCUCUCCUGUGAUGCCUCCUUGCCAACCGGAUACACAACACUGCUCCUUUUGCCCAGCACCUGGCCUACAUCUUUCGGAGUCUGGCUUGCCUUCCUUCCAGCCGAUCUGCUCUUGUACUUCUUCAGCUGUGUGUUCUUGUUUGCGGCAGCCACAGGAGCAGUAGCCCCGCCAGCGACCGACUUCGGACCUGCUUCUUUUCGUGCCUUUCUGAUCGCAAUUCUCACCUCUGCUCACCCAGAGACAUCAGCAUCAGUAGGCUCCACCCCUGGUUUCGCCCCUCCCUGACUUGAAGCCUCCUUCUUGUCACCGAUGUCAACACCCACACUGAGUUUGCUAACUCCAUCUACAGCCUGGAUCAUAGCUGCCAUCAGAUGGUCCGGCACGGGAAUAUUGCGUCGAGGGGACCCAUUUCUGCCCGAGGCCCUCAUGUCCUUGUUGGACAUUUCCAAACUCAGCUUCCUCGCAGGCGGCGUAUAGUACAGCUGCUUCUUGGUCUUCAGGUCUUCACCCGGCAGGUAGGAGCUCCGCCUAUCAUAUAUCUUGUAUGGAGAGGCAGACUGUCCCACGCUGAAGCGAACCACCUUUUCUUCCUCCGGCAUCACGCAUGCCCGGUAAUCAUGACCGACGAUACCACAGUAAAAGCAGAAGCGGCGGAGGCGUUCAUACUUGACCUCAUACCUCUUCGGGUACUUGACCUUCUUUCCCUGGAUCCUCACCACAGGCUCAAUGGGCUUAUUGAUAUCAUGCUCAAUCCUGACACGGAGAAACUCAUCCCAUGCCUUGCCGCCUUUAUCCGUGAAGACCAUCCUCACCGGCGCAAUGAGCUCCCCAAUCUCUCUGCCCAUCAGAACAUUCAUCAUUGGAGGCGGCAGGUCAAAGAUCCUCACCCACACCGGCAUCGUGUUGAUCUUCAUCUCAGCCACAGACGACUCCCCGUCGUAGGCAGGACGAGGAGGACGUCCCCAAGGUAAUUCCAAGGGCCACCCGCCAGCACAUAUAGGUAGUCCCCCUCUUGCUUGAACUCGAUCAGAAACUUACUUCCUGCCAGAUCCUUGUACUCCACGCCUCCUCAAAGCUGCUAGAUCUCGCGCAUGCGUCGAAAGAGCCUCCCAGAGCUGAAGGUGCUGGUGGUGACGUAGCGCGCUACCACAAUCCACUGGCUUCCCAUCUCAAGCUUCAGUUUGUCAAGGUCCACCACAAGGACCUUGGCCGGGUUUGCAUCCCUAGGUCUGCGCUCAGGCGUCUCGUUGGCAAAGACGGCAUCGACAACCGCCAGAUGCUGCAUGUCUUCCUCCUCCACAUGCUCCUUGCCUUUGCGACGGACAAACUCAGAUCCAGUCACACUGCCCUGGCUCUCACCGUUCACCUUAACACCGCCUGCCAUGCCGUUGGGCCAGGGAGGAUCUGGCGGCCUGAGAGGAUUGCUUGGGGGGUGGAUCUGUUGAAGGCGGAGGAUGAGACGGUGUGAAGAGAGGAGUACCUGUGAUCGCUAUACAUAUGGGGGCAGGCGUGAUUCCCACGAGAUUAACUCCAUGGCUUCCAUGUUUGAUGCGAUCACAUAUCCCGUGAUGGCUUCCUUCCUCAUGAUCUUCGAAUCCGGUGCAGAACUGCAUAUGGCAAGAACCUCCCCAAUUACCGGCGGCUCCCGUACGCCCGGCCCUGGGGGCAGCGGGCAUGGUGGGAUUUUCGGCGAGGAAGGUUCCGUCGCGUGCUUGGGUGAGGGGGCCCCCCCAUCCAUACGGCCGGCCGGGAUCUUCUGAGAACUGUGUUGGAGAUAUGCCCUAGAGGCAAUCAUGUGAUGAUGUUAUUUCCUAUGUAUUCAUGAGUUAUUGUUAUUGUCCUUGAACAUCAUCACUGAUAUGUAUCAAUAAAUACGUGAUUUGUUUGUGAGACUAUGUAUUCUAUGAUGAUUGUUCUAAUGGUCCCUGGUCAUUGAGGUUAUGCAGACACAUAACCUAGACUAGCAAUGUGAAUCAGUAUGAUGACUAUGUUUCACAAGUCAUAGGGCAAGGUGUUGCCGAUUGAUAGCAUGGACUCGACAAUGAGAUUGUUGAGUCGGACAGACCCGCACUGAGACACAACGAGAUGACUGUCAUUUGUUAGUCUCAAUUACGAUGUAUAUGCCAUUCCUAGAUCUGAGGUCAUCGCAUGAGCUUGUGAUGUGAAUCGGCCUACUUAGGGAUUGCCAAACGCUACUCCGUAACUGGGUGGUUAUAAAGGUAGCUUUCGGGUUUGCUGAGAAGCAUGCUGCGAGUCAUGGUUGAUCAAGAUGGGAUUUGCCCCUCCUGUUCAGAGAGAUAUCUCUGGGCCCUCUCGAGUGAUAAGAUUCGGAAAGCAUGGCCAUGCGACUUGGGUUAAGUGUUAACCCGUUCGGAAAUCUGUAUCACAGGAACGAGAAGAGAGUCAAGCUAUCCACAAGGAUGACAAGCACUCGCUUUGAGCUCGACACACAUAUCGUGAGGCAAAAGGAAUGUUGCAUAUGACACAUUGUAUGGUUCGUCAAUAUACUUUGUGGUUACUUGGGAGUUGGCACGUGCUGCUAGGCGCCGCUACCAACUAUCGACUUGAGUCGGUGCCAGUGGACGAGUAAGGUGUUACUCGGGCCCGCAGUCCGAGCUCGUAAUCGUGUCUGACUGCCCGCGAACCUGAAGGGUCACACGCUUAAGGGGUGGGAACCGAGUUGGAUCGGAUUCAACUCGUAUCGAGCUUAGACUCCUAACGGGUCUCAAGUGUUGAGCCCACUAGGGACGUCUAUGUAAGCGGAGGAGACCAACCCGUCUAGGGUUACACCAGUCCAGACGCGAGUUAGACUCGGCCGUCACACCUCCAUGCCCAAAGCCUUGCGAUCGGAUCUAGCAGUCCGCCGCACGGAGUUCCUCCCUGUACGUGUGGAUACCUCGGAGGCGCUGCACCUGUGGCGCUUGGACGAACUGUUCGUGGGAUCGGCGAGGAGGAGCAGGCUGUUCGACUACUCGGCAUCGACGCGCUACAUCGACUCUACUUCCGCUACGGGUCUGCGCGUCUAGUGGUAAUCUCGUGAUCCAUUAUCUACAGCAUUGAUCCGGGCGGAAGCGGUAGAAAUUUUAUUUUGUGCUAGCGUAGCAUACCGCGUUCCCCAACAAACUGAUCCACUCAAUCAUCUUUGCUCGUAAUUCCGCAAUCUUUGGGAGGAGAUCUUCCCGGAUCGGAAACAACGUUUAGAUCCCCUCCUUUCAUGGCCCGGGCGUGAGCCUCCCGGACACAUCGGCGAAAGCUUUCCUUAGAGAGAGCCAGAACCGGGAUUUCACCCCCGGUAGCAUUCAUAGCCAUCACUGGCGCGGCCAGCGUCGGAGACGGCGCUAGGGGCGGCCUAGGGGUGGUACAUCUCCGCCCACUUUUUAAUCCAACUAAUGAAGCGCCUUUUGGAGAAAUUUUAAAAAAAAAUCAUUGUGUUUACAUGCCUUGUAAAUAGUGGAAGUGCCAAGUGUUUCACAAGAUACAAGAAAAGGUUUUAUGGCAGUGAGAAGGGGACCGAGGAGGAUGUCACACCGUUAUCAUAUAUCACAUUUAAAGACACAUAUGAAAAUAAAGAUCUGGCCUACAUAUUUGAGUGUGAUAAUAAAGGAUCCUAAGGUUCUUCUUUCUGUUCCUUCUUUCUAACACCUGUGUUUGAGAGAGAUCAAUCAUCAUCAUUACAAUGAUCAAGCUGAUCAAUUCUCUGCAAACGAAUCAGCUAGGUAGUAAGAGCUAAUUUGAACUACAUGGACGAUCUUUCAUAUCAUGAAGAUGCACAGAAAACCAACCAACCCUAAAUCACAUAUCCAUGGAAGCAAGCUAGCUCUGGCUACACUAGAGCACCCACUCACCUUGUGAACGAACCGCAUGCCAUGCCCACAGCUGGCCGGCACUCAAGACGGUGCCCACGCGGAGGCGAAAACAACGUUGUGCCCCUUCCAAGUGAGCAAGAGAUCAUCGUCCUCCCGCUUCAUCCCCCACCCGGCGGCAUGCUCGUUCAGCAUCGUCCUCACCUCCCCAGCAGCCUCCUCGCCGAUCCCCACGGCUCGGAACCCGGCGCCCCGCAUCCUCUGCCCCCACCUGGCCCGGCCUUCCUGCCGCUCCACCCGGGCCACGCCUUCCUGCGCCAGCACGUUCUCCACCUUCCACCCGACCUCCGCCUCGUACCACCGCCGCUGCGCGCUCCCUUGCUUGGGCAGGAACGUGUCCACGGCGUCGUAGGGGAUCCACAGGAAGUUGAACGCCGCCCGCAGCCGCCCCACCACGUCGCACGCCGUGAAGUCGGCGUCUUCUUCCGCUAUCACCACCAGGGCUGGGUCAAGGCUCCGUAGGGACUUGAGCAGCAUGGUCCGGAGCGACACCGGCUGCUGCUGCUGCGGAAGAAGGCCUGCGGUGAGUGUCGACAUCACGGACCCGGCCGUCUCGUCGGGCACGGCGUGGAGCAGCAUGUGGCAGUUGAUUACGAGAGCUUCGCUGCAGCUGCUGGAGUCGGACACCAGCAGCUGCUGCAUGCGGAGCGUGUCGAGUAAGGAAGCGAAGGCGUCGGCGGGGGACGUGCGCACCACACGGAAGUCCAUGGACACGUUCCGUGACCGCGCGAAGGACACCAGCUUGGCUCCCAGCUCCUCGUAGGACGUGUCGAGCACCGGCGGCGGCGAAGAAGAAGAAGAAGAGCUAGAAUUAGAGGAGACGUCGGCGACGGUGAGCCGUAGGAUGGGCGGGCCCUCGGCGCGGGAGGCGAGCAAGUCGAUGAGCGUGGGGAUCUGCAUGCAGUGCGUGGUGCUGAGGUCCACGACGUGCACCACGGGGAACCCUUCCGCUGCCUCCAGGAUGGCCGCGUUGGCAGCCAUGUACCCGAACCGGUGCCACGGUGUCAGGUCCACGAAGCCCGCCAGCUCGACGGCCGUGAACCGGUGCACGUCCUCGACGGCCACGGCGGCCGCCACGGCGGCGGUGACCGCCUUGCAGGCGCCCGUCCUGGAGGCGCGGGACACGAGCGCGCAGAGGAAGGCCGCCGUGAGCCGCUGGGUGGAGUCGCCGUCGGCGGGGGCGAUGUUGUUGAGCACCCACAGGAUCUGCUGCGUCAGCGUGGCGUCGUUGGCCUCGAUGGCGCUCGCGCAGUGCACCAGCAGCUGCUCCAUGCACCCCGCGCUGUUGAGGUUCCCCAGCGAGAUCUUGCUGCUGGCCGUCGUUGGCGUCGUCGUCCCGGGCCACGGCCGCGGCGUGCCCACGUCGAGGAGGAGGCCUAGCCCUAGUCCAUGGGCGGCGUUGUUGGGGACGUGGUGGCCGUGGUGGUGGUGGUGGUGGUGGAGAGGCGGUGCGGUUACUGCGGCAUGGGUGAACUGCAUCAUGUAGGGGGGGCAAAACCGGGGUGGGAGGGUACAAAUUCGCGACGACGAAGCAGGCAGCUAGCUAGUGAUUGAUUAGAAAAGAGCAAGGAGGGCAGAGCGAGUACACGUCGGGCAGUUUGAGGAGCGGAUUUGGUGCUUGUACGAAGCAUAUAUAGAGGGCUGUGCGGCGCACUUAAUUGCUUUCCUUUGCUGCUAGUCGGAGCUGCACAGCUACAACUCAACUACACGUGCUUUCCAAUUGGAGCUUAUUUGGGAGCGCCAAUCGAUGGGGGGCAAACCAGUUGAGGGGGAGAAUGGAGAAUUCGAUUCAUCAUAAAGUACAAGGAAUAUUUCAGCCACCGGGAGCAGACGAUGGAACUGAUCAAGGCCGGCUAUUUGUAGUUAGCUAGAAAUGAUCUAGGGCUGGAAGAAACGGCAAGAAAACUAAAUCUUUGUUUUAUACACCAUCCAUCAAGGAGAGGGAUCGAGAUCUAGCUAAGCUAUUGUAUGCAACUAGGAGGAAUCAAGAUGAACAAUUAGCACAUGCACAUAGUACGUAUAUAUAGCGCUAGCUAGGUGGUUUGAAUUCAAGGGUGAAGCUGCGGAAAUUUGUGCAUAUGCCGAUCUGAGAGAGCUUACUAGAGGAAUUGGGUAGCAGUAUCAAGGAAGACGGAAAGGGAGAGCUACGGGAAGGGGGAGAAGAGUUACCGGCCGGGUCACAAAGUCGCUAAUUGUAGACGGAAUUUUGUAGUGGUUUGUUGGAUUGUUCUGGAUGGACAGCUUUGUAUUGGUCAAUGGAGUAAAUUACACAAAGGCACAUCUUCAAGGGAUGAGUUAAAAGAGAACUAUUACAACUCAAGGGAUUUUAACAAAAAAAUGUGGUUUUUCUCUUGAGAAGUCGUUUGUUUUUUAGUUAGAGAUAAGUCGAUAUGUUUGAUCUUAAUCCAACGAUAGCAAGUGAGAGAUGAGAAAAUGGGGAUGGCACUCAGAUUUUAAUCCAACGGUUCUAAAACAUCGACUCAGAUUUAAGGUUCAUUUCUUAAAAAUCAGACGACUUAGCAAUAUCCACGCCCAAAAAAAAUUUAAUUACAUAUAUUUAAUCUUGCAGAUCACAACUGUCUUACACAAGACUUAACACAUUUGUGUUUAUGGCCGAACCAUCAAUUUCGAAAGAAGUCAAAGUAGCAUGUAUGUGGCAGGUGGUGGGACCAACUAGGUGAAUGGUAAUUUUGCAUAUGUAUGAGUUUUUUUGUUACUCAUUAAUCUUGAAGUAUGGUUUUUGUUAAAAUCCCAUUGAAUUGUAGUUUCUUGUCGAACCAAAGGGGGCCUUCAUGCAAUUCACUCCAGUUUAUAUGGCACUUAUUUUGGCCGAAUCAUCAAUUUCGAAAGAAGUCAAAGUAGCCUAUGCUAUGUGGGACCAACAAGAUAAAUGAUAAAUUUGUACAUGUAUGAGUUUUUUUUGUUACUCGUUAAUUUUGAAGUAUGGUUUUUGUUAAAAUCCCAUAGAAUUGGAGUUUUUCUUGUCACCGAAGGUGGGUCUUCAUGCAAUUUACUCUAGUCUAUAUAGCGAUAUACUCCACUAGUUAAGUACUCCACCUUCCAAAAGUAGACUCACAAUAGUUAUCAGAAUUACAUGUCACAAUAGUUGACAAGUAACUAGCACACGCACUUCACAUGGUAAAUGUCACGUAAUAUAUCUGCAAAAAAAUUGUCAAGUACUCCCUCCGAUCUAUAAUAAGUGACGCUGACUUAGUAGUACUAGAAUUGUACAAAAAUUGUCAUGGACUAUUAUUUUCCAGAGGAUUUGAAUGGUGUCGUACAAAAAUUACUGUAACUAUUUUUUUUUUGUGUGUGUGAGAGAGAGAUCACGGGCCAUAUCAUGAUGAAAUGAUUUGGUCAGUUCGGGAUUGGGUCCCACAUGGGACAAGCCAGAAUUAGUUAAGGUCCGUUCUAUAUCUAAUAUUCUCAUUGUUUGCAAAGCAGAAAACGACUCUUUGUUUUGAUUUGAACUCAGACGUCCAAACUGCUUAAAACUAUUCGACAGAAGAAUUCCAUAGGCCAGGGAUGCUAACCACAUUGAUAGAUGACAGUUGUGUCUGCAUGUGUAUAUAUAUAGUCCCACCUUGAGAAUUCUUAAUUUGCUCUUGCAGGAAUAUGGUGGCAUAUUUCUCUGAGCAGUUCUGAGAGCUAGUUAUCGCAGGAACCGUAUGUCAUACCAGUCCACUGAUACUAACUCAAUCUAAUGUCAGUAGUUUUGGUGUGGUGUCGUUUUAAAUUAACUUGUUGCUGCAAACUACUCCAUCCGUCCAACAAUAGGAGGCAUAUUAGGGUUUGGUUGACCAAUCUUUUGAUCACAAAUUACUUCAUGAAUAUGUGACUAAUGUGAUCAAAAUCAUAACCAUAAACAAAUAUCCUUGAGUAGGAAUAUUAUGGAUAUGAAUCUAUGUCAUAUAAUUAUAUAUUAAUAGAGUAAUAUGUGGUCAAAACAUUAGUCAAAGGAAAUCUAAUAUGUUCCCUAUUGUUGGACGAGGCAGUACUAACCAGACUAUGGCUGCACCCUUAUCUCUGGCCCACUGCAGAUUUGCUGUUGUAGUGGCAGAAGAU
rnacentral:lncRNA from 1 species